AUACCACCCUUUAAUGGCUGGUGUUCUAACGUAGACCCGUGAACCGGGUUGCGGACAGUGUCUGGUGGGUAGUUUGACUGGGGCGGUCUCCUCCUAAAGCGUAACGGAGGAGCACGAAGGUUGGCUAAUCCUGGUCGGACAUCAGGAGGUUAGUGCAAUGGCAUAAGCCAGCUUGACUGCGAGCGUGACGGCGCGAGCAGGUGCGAAAGCAGGUCAUAGUGAUCCGGUGGUUCUGAAUGGAAGGGCCAUCGCUCAACGGAUAAAAGGUACUCCGGGGAUAACAGGCUGAUACCGCCCAAGAGUUCAUAUCGACGGCGGUGUUUGGCACCUCGAUGUCGGCUCAUCACAUCCUGGGGCUGAAGUAGGUCCCAAGGGUAUGGCUGUUCGCCAUUUAAAGUGGUACGCGAGCUGGGUUUAGAACGUCGUGAGACAGUUCGGUCCCUAUCUGCCGUGGGCGCUGGAGAACUGAGGGGGGCUGCUCCUAGUACGAGAGGACCGGAGUGGACGCAUCACUGGUGUUCGGGUUGUCAUGCCAAUGGCACUGCCCGGUAGCUAAAUGCGGAAGAGAUAAGUGCUGAAAGC
rnacentral:rRNA from 1 species